UCGGCAGUGUGUAGCUGACCCUCGGGGGGCGUGUCCCCGCACACAAUCUUAUGAAUGAAAUUCCAGCGCCCUGUGCACCGACUCUUUAUUAUUCCGCUCACAGCCCCCUUCUGAUUCACAGACUUGGGAGCCGAUCAUGAAUAUCAGCGAACACUUUGACGUCAGAGCUGAGAUUUCUCAGCAGACCCAAUGGGGCAAGAAUAUUAAGUGCAAGUCAAAGGCAUAGCUCUGGCAAGCAGCAGCAUUAGCAAUGGGAACCGAGGACUGAGAGUGAUCAGAAAGGGCUGAGAGUGAUCAGGAAGCACUGACAGUGACCAGGAAGGACUGAGAGUGACCAGCAAGGACUGGCAGCAUCAGAACAAGGAGCACCGAGCUGGACAGACACGGAGGAAGGUUUAAAAAGGAAAACAAGAAACAGAAUAGCUGCUAUGGGCAACACAAUUCAUUAUCUCCAGUUUCCUUUACUGUCCCUGGAAAAGCAGCAAUGUCCUGUGGAAGACGGAAUAUUGUUUAGGACAAAGAAUCAUGUAUACCUUAAAGAACUGUUACGGAAGACGACUGGUAACAAUCUAUGAUGCACUUAACAAAACAAUGCACUUUGUCAAUGCUGUAUAGAACCCCUUCAGUGCCUCAUUAUGUGUUUAGCAGUGGUAUGCAUCAAAACAUUUUGGAAUCUGAAUACUUUACAAGGAUAAAUCUUACUGUAGUAAAUCUGUAAUAUGUGGCAGUCUUGUACAUUGUUCAGCUUGGAGCUGGUGAGCAGUGGCAAAUGUGAAUCUUAAAGAUGUUUAGUAUUUCCUUGUGCACCGUGUGACUAUUUAAAUAAUUAUGUCAUAUCAUACCUAAAGCCUAUCUAUAGUCAAAAUAUAUUUUUUUAGAUCGGGAUAGAUCAUGAAAUUCUUAAAACCCUUAGGAUUUUAUUUCAGUCUGUGUAUCUCUUCCUGUCGUGGUGACUCUAUUAGAAGUGAGGGAAAUCAACCUAACAAAGUUAUGGUCAACAACAGAAGGAUCGAUUCUUCUCGACUCUUCUGGCAACUUAAAAAAUAUUCUGGCCAUUGUUGGACUUUAAAAGGUCAGACAACUCAAAUGUGAUGUUUACAUUUUUGGUAAAUGUGGAGUUAAACCACCUGCCAGUUUCUUUUACAAGUUAGGUACUAUGAUGGCAAGCUCCUCCAGACCUUUACAUCUGAUGUGGCUAUUAUAAUGAGGUCAUUUUAGUUACUUAUUUAACUGGAAAGUAGUAUGUAUAAAAAGGGUAACCUCAUAUGUGGCAUAAUGUUUUAUGUGUUAAAGGAGAAGUAGGGCCAAAGCUUUUUUGGCCCUACUUCUCCAAAAGAAAAGGAAUUGACCUAUAAAUAUAUGGGGACAGUAGCACUAAUGAGGGUGAUAGUUAUUGUAGACCCCCUUUUACCAUAUAAGAAAAACAGCUUAAAAAACAGUGAAACUACGUUUAUCACCCUUGUUUAAGCUAAACAGCAGGUGUUUGGCAUAUUUAUUUUAAAUAAAUGGAAAGAGGUCAUCAUUUUCUGCCCAAUGCUUUAUUGUUCUCUAAUAUCUUCUCUGAUUUAAAAAAAAAAAAAAAGCAUUUUGUUUGUAUGAUAAAUAAUAAGGCUGAAAUAAAAUUCAUGAAGAUCCUGCAUGUGCCCCUUUUUAAAUAUGCACAUUUCCUAAUCUGCACAGAAGUCAACAAGACUACAGCAACCUAAAUAAUUUAUCCCAUGAAGAAUUUAGUAUCUCGGUGGAGGUUUUUUUUACUACCUGAAUAUUAGAAAACAUGGGCAAGAACCUUUAUUUUGCACUGUUGUGUUUUGUGUUUUCCAUAUAUUUUGUCUAUUUGCUCUGCUUUGCGAUAUGUAUAAGAAUGCAGUCAUUAUGUUCUAAUGGCAGAUGCAUCAUGGUGCUGAAGGGAUAAAAUACAGCUGUUGGUCUGUAACAUGUCUGUACAAUUUAAUGUCUCUGCUUAUUAACUGGUGAUCUUAUGAUGUCUUACAUAUCUGUGGCUCUCAGUCAUAAAGAAUGGACCAUUAACUGUAAAGUAAUCUCAAGAUCUGUUGUUUCAUGGAUAGAGAUUUUGUCUCCUGCCAACAAGGUCUACUGUCCAUCUCUUGUAAGCCUUAUAUCUGACAACUGUUCAAUGGGUUCCAUGUAAUUAUAGUCAUUACUGUUAUUACUACUGCUAUGCCAAUUCGGGAUUCUUCAUAGUAAAUUUGGAGAGUUGUCAACUGUAAUGAUAAGUUGGGUAUAUAUAAGUAUUGAUAAAAACGUACUUUGGAUUUUAAGGUAAAAUAUUGAUCAUUUUGGGUUGAAAUACAUCUAUUAUAAAUUUGAAGGAUGACCUGUUUUGAUGCUUAUAGAAACCAGUUAGUACGUACCUGUGCUGUACAGGAAAAUUGAUUGACGCGAGCAAAAAAAAAUAUUUCUUCCUUCAUAUGUUUUGAGAAAUAAGGGUUAUAAUUCUUUAAUCUGUAUUACAUCUCCAGUUUUGCUUGAAAACCUAUUUAAUGAGUUAAAUAUUACAUCAUUAGGGUCAUUUGGUUAUUACUCGUCCAAUUUUGAGCUGGGUUGGUGUUUUACUAAAGUGUUUUAUUUGCUGACAUAAGCUUGUUGUAUAAAAUGAUCUUUCUCAGUUCUGGUUUUAUAAGAACCCAUACCUUAUUUUGUGCAAAUGUCUUCAGUAUGGGAGCCGGCAGUUAAACCCUAACUGCUCCUCUCUGUCUAGAACAGAGUUGGUCGAUCUUCCCAUUGCAUGAUCAAAGUGUUUUCCAAUGUCAGAUGACUCCAUAUGUUUCCUGGAUGUUACAAGUCAAAGCAUGAAAUGGACUGUAGUAUAUUUUUUUAUCAUUUCAGAUUUAUUUAUCUACUUGUCUUGUCCUUCUGAGAAAAGGGCAGACUCUACAUGAGUUCCAAAUUAUUAUUUUUUUUAUAUGAGAUUGUGUCAAAUGCAAAUGUGUGAUACUUUUGGCAGCUCAUUUUGUACCUUCAAUAAAAUGUAGCUUUCCAACUCAAAUCAA